AGAGUUUGAUCAUGGCUCAGAUUGAACGCUGGCGGCAGGCUUAACACAUGCAAGUCGAGCGGAGAUGAGGUGCUUGCACCUUAUCUUAGCGGCGGACGGGUGAGUAAUGCUUAGGAAUCUGCCUAUUAGUGGGGGACAACAUUCCGAAAGGAAUGCUAAUACCGCAUACGUCCUACGGGAGAAAGCAGGGGAUCUUCGGACCUUGCGCUAAUAGAUGAGCCUAAGUCGGAUUAGCUAGUUGGUGGGGUAAAGGCCUACCAAGGCGACGAUCUGUAGCGGGUCUGAGAGGAUGAUCCGCCACACUGGGACUGAGACACGGCCCAGACUCCUACGGGAGGCAGCAGUGGGGAAUAUUGGACAAUGGGGGGAACCCUGAUCCAGCCAUGCCGCGUGUGUGAAGAAGGCCUUAUGGUUGUAAAGCACUUUAAGCGAGGAGGAGGCUACUGAGACUAAUACUCUUGGAUAGUGGACGUUACUCGCAGAAUAAGCACCGGCUAACUCUGUGCCAGCAGCCGCGGUAAUACAGAGGGUGCGAGCGUUAAUCGGAUUUACUGGGCGUAAAGCGUGCGUAGGCGGCUUUUUAAGUCGGAUGUGAAAUCCCCGAGCUUAACUUGGGAAUUGCAUUCGAUACUGGGAAGCUAGAGUAUGGGAGAGGAUGGUAGAAUUCCAGGUGUAGCGGUGAAAUGCGUAGAGAUCUGGAGGAAUACCGAUGGCGAAGGC
rnacentral:rRNA from 2 species